CUUGUCUGAAAUAGCCUGGGGUUGCCUGUACCCCAAGUGUGUCAAGUAAGGUUGAGCAUAUUAACUUGGAGUUGCUGUUUUUUGGUGAAACUGAGUCUAAGUGAACAAAGCAAUGGCUUAUAAUUUACGCUCUUGACGCAUAUGCGACGAGCUGCUCCGAGAUGACGAAAUGGACUAAGUAGUUGAGCAUCUGCGAAGAUUGCGUAAGAAACUGAAGAUUGGUAUAAUUGUAUUUGUUCGUUUGCCAGUUUCAAUGUUUUUAAAAUAAUUUUCAGAUCAAAUUUAUAACAUUUUAGCCAAUAGAAAUAAAGAUUUGAUGUUUUUCAAAUG